AGCAAGAAAAACCAAGCAAAAUGAAUUAAAGUUUGUCACCCCGAAACCCAAGCGAGCUACUUACGAGCAGCUAUUAUUGAGCGAACCCGUCUCUGUUGCAAAAGAGUGGGAUGACUUGUCAGUAGAGGUGAAAAGCCAAUCGAGCUGGGUGAUAGCUGGUUGCCUGUGAAACGAAUCUAAGUUCACUCUUAAUUCUUCUCCAAGGAAACCCCAAACCCUAAUGAAGCGAAUUAAGGGCUAUUUAAAGGAGGUACAGCUCCUUUAAAAAAGAGUACAAUCUCUACGAGCGGAUAAAUAACCUAUACCAAAGACUAUUGUGGGCCCUCAAGCAGCCAUCAACAAAGAGUGCGUUAAAGCUCUGUGCUCCAAAAAAAUACAACAACUUUAUGAAUCCCUCAUCACUAACGGGCUAACCUAUAUAUCAAUAGGAGAAUUAAUGCUAGAAUGAGUAACCUGGGAUUUUCCCUCUUCGACG
rnacentral:rRNA from 1 species